AGAAAACUCUCUUAUCAAAUAAAUGCUCCAAGUAGCAGUCACAUUUAUUUGUGAGCUAUUCUGGUGGAAAACUGUCUUAUUCGCACCUGAAAUCAAGUAAGAUCACCCGCUGGACUUAAGCAUAUUACUAAGCGGAGGAAAAGAAAUUAACUAAGAUUGCCUUAGUAAGGGCGACUGAACCGGCAAAAGCUCGAAAUUAAAAUCGGAAAUUCAAUGAAUUUUCGAAUUGUAAUCAGGGUGCCCAAAAUACGGGAGGUCACUCAAGAGUCUCGAAAGGCUCGCCAUAGAGGGUGCAAGCCCCGUGCAGUGAUCUCUCGAACGUGGGAACUCGAAAAAGAGUCGUGUUGCUUGGAACUGCAGCACUAAGAGGGAGAUAUGAUUCUUCCAAAGCUAAAUAUGGAUGGGAGACCGAUAGCGGACAAGUACUGUGAAGGAAAGAUGAAAAGGACUUUGAAAAGAGAGUGAAAAGAUCUGAAAUCGUUGAGAAGGAAGCUGUUAAAACUGAUCGAGGUUAUGAUGGCGCAACGCGGCCAAAAGUCGUGGAGCGUCUACCAAAGACCCUGGACAAAAUGAAGCUAGCUGGAUCAAAAAAGGCGCAAGCCGUGUAAAAUCUAGUUAGCUUAAGGGGCUAAGGCGAUUUUGUCUAAAAGGUUUUAACCGACCCGUCUUGAAACACGGACCAAGGAGUCUACCACAUAUGCGAGUGUGCGAGUGUAGAAACUCAUACGCGUAAUGAAAGUAAAAGGUGCGCAGUGUUAAAACAGCAGCAUCGACCGACCUAGUAAGAAAGGUUUGAGUAUGAGCAUAUUUGGUAGGACCCGAAAGAUGGUGAACUAUGCCUGAGUAGGGUGAAGUCAGGGGAAACCCUGAUGGAGGCUCGUAGCGGUACUAACGUGCAAAUUGUUCGUCAAACUUGGGUAUAGGGGCGAAAGACUAAUCGAACCAUCUAGUAGCUGGUUCCCUC
rnacentral:misc_RNA from 1 species